rnacentral:rRNA from 1 species
UACGUAGGUGACCAGCGUUGUCCGGAUUUACUGGGCGUAAAGAGCGCGCAGGCGGUCGUUCAAGUCGAGUGUGAAAGCCCCCGGCUCAACUGGGGAGGGUCACUCGAUACUGAUCGACUUGAAGGCAGGAGAGGGAAGCGGAAUUCCCGGUGUAGUGGUGAAAUGCGUAGAUAUCGGGAGGAACACCAGUGGCGAAGGCGGCUUCCUGGCCUGUUCUUGACGCUGAGGCGCGAAAGCUAGGGGAGCAAACGGA